rnacentral:rRNA from 1 species
UUAAGUUAGUGGCGGACGGGUGAGUAACGCGUGGGUAACCUGCCGUAUACCGGGGGAUAACACCUGGAAACAGGUGCUAAUACCGCAUAAGCGCACGGGACCGCAUGGUCCAGUGUGAAAAACCGAGGUGGUAUGCGAUGGACCCGCGUCUGAUUAGCCAGUUGGCGGGGUAACGGCCCACCAAAGCGACGAUCAGCAGCCGGCCUGAGAGGGUGGACGGCCACACUGGGACUGAGACACGGCCCAGACUCCUACGGAAGGCAGCAG